rnacentral:tRNA from 1 species
GGGGAUGUAGCUUAGUUAGUAGAGUGCUUGCCUUGCAUGCACAAGGCCCUGGGUUCAAUUCCUAGUACCA